AUGGGCUCCAGGCUCCUCUGCUGGGUGGCCCUUGGGCUCCUGGGAGCAGGCUCUGUGGAUGCUGAAGUCACUCAAAGCCCCAGACACCUGGUCAAAGCAAGGAGUCAGCCAGUGACCCUGAGAUGCAACUAUGAAUCUGGGCACCAGUAUGUUUACUGGUAUCAACAAACCCUGGGAAAGAGUCUUGACUUCUUUGUUUCAUAUGCCCUUGGGAAAGAGUAUCAAAAAGGCAGCCUCCCUGACCACUUCUCAGUCCAACAGUUCAGUGAGGACUCCAGCUCUGAGCUGAGCGUGAGCUCCGUGGAAGUGGCCGACUCUGCCCUGUACUUCUGUGCCAGCAGCCUCACAGCCCUGCCUGCUCAGCUGACUCCUGCACAAAAACACCCCUGGCCAACCCAGGAAGUGGUAGUGAAGGGGGAGCCACCAUCCAGUCCCACCUGUAUGAGGACAGUCACUUUGUGUAUGGGGAUGAGUCAAUAUGUCAGAGUCACGCAGGAUAUGUACUGUUGCACCUGUUUUUAA